GAUGCCAGCUAGCGAUCCGCCAAAGUUCCUCCGAUGACUUGGUGGGCAGCUUCCGGGAAACCAAAGCAUUUGGGUUCCGGGGGAAGUAUGGUUGCAAAGCUGAAACUUAAAGGAAUUGACGGAAGGGCACCACCAGGAGUGGAGCCUGCGGCUUAAUUUGACUCAACACGGGAAACCUCACCAGGCCCGGACACCGGAAGGAUUGACAGAUUGAGAGCUCUUUCUUGAUUCGGUGGGUGGUGGUGCAUGGCCGUUCUUAGUUGGUGGAGCGAUUUGUCUGGUUAAUUCCGAUAACGAACGAGACUCUAGCCUACUAAAUAGACGUACUUUAUUACCGGCAUCUCAAGGCCCAUCGGCUGUAUUGUUACUGAAUGUUAUUUGUAUAUUUUGUUGAUAUAUAUUUAUUAUAUGUAUGAUUGAUA
rnacentral:rRNA from 1 species